AAUGCUAGCUGUGUAGCAAUACAUGGCUAGCGGAAGUGGCGAAAGGGGCAGUAAUGCGUGGAUAACCUACCCCGGGGAUGGGCAUAGCCGUUCUAACGGACGGGUAAUUCCCAGCGAUUCGGUGAGGGGGCAUCUCCUUACCGGGAAAUGAGUUUCGCCUCGGGAGGGGUCCACGUGCUAUUAGCUAGUUGGCGGGGUAACGGCCCACCAAGGCUAAGAUGGCUAGCGGGUGUGAGAGCACGACCCGCGCCACUGGCACUGAGACACUGGCCAGACACCUACGGGUGGCUGCAGUCGAGGAUCUUCGUCAAUGGGCGCAAGCCUGAACGAGCGACGCCGCGUGUGGGAUGAAGGCCUUCGGGUUGUAAACCACUGUCGAGGGGGAGAAAGGCGCAAGCUUGAUCGACCCCUGGAGGAAGGACGGGCUAAGUUCGUGCCAGCAGCCGCGGUAAGACGAACCGUCCUAACGUUGUUCGGAAUCACUGGGCUUAAAGGGCGCGUAGGCGGCCUUGAAAGUCGGGGGUGAAAUCCCACGGCCUAACCGUGGAAGUGCCUCCGAUACUGCAAGGCUCGAGGGAGGUAGGGGCAGCUGGAACUUCCGGUGGAGCGGUGAAAUGCGUUGAUAUCGGAAGGAACGCCGGUGGCGAAAGCGAGCUGCUGGACCUCUGCUGACGCUGAGGCGCGAAAGCCAGGGGAGCAAACGGGAUUAGAUACCCCGGUAGUCCUGGCCCUAAACGAUGGGUACUAGGUUGUGGACUGGUCAUGGGUUCACAGCCGAAGCAAAAGUGUUAAGUACCCCGCCUGGGGAGUAUGGU
rnacentral:rRNA from 1 species